rnacentral:sRNA from 10 species
AAGGGAAAAUAGGUGGAAAUUCAAAAAUCAAGUGAAAAAAGGUGGUGAGUCAAUUGUUUCGGGUAAGAGACUGCACCCGAGGGCGGAAGAUAGGAGUAUUUCUACUCCUAAUACUGUGGUGAGUCAAUUGUUUCGGGUAAGAGACUGCACCCGAGGGCGGAAGAUAGGAGUAUUUCUAC